AAUACCGCAUAAUGUCGCAAGACCAAAGAGGGGGACCUUCGGGCCUCUUGCCAUCGGAUGUGCCCAGAUGGGAUUAGCUAGUAGGUGGGGUAACGGCUCACCUAGGCGACGAUCCCUAGCUGGUCUGAGAGGAUGACCAGCCACACUGGAACUGAGACACGGUCCAGACUCCUACGGGAGGCAGCAGUGGGGAAUAUUGCACAAUGGGCGCAAGCCUGAUGCAGCCAUGCCGCGUGUAUGAAGAAGGCCUUCGGGUUGUAAAGUACUUUCAGCGGGGAGGAA
rnacentral:rRNA from 1 species